AUGUCCUCCUCCUCUGCUGUUCCCUCCUCCGGCCUAAACUACAACAUCUCCGAGCCUCUCACCAGGACGAACUAUGUCCUUUGGAGAGCUCAAGCCCGAUCCCAAAUACUGGGCGCCGGCUUGUAUGGCUAUGUCGACAAAACCAUAGCGGAGCCUCCCAAGACAAUCAUCGCCAAGGAUAAAGAUGGCAAGGAUCAGGAGAUGCCAAACCCUGCCUAUGCCCCCUGGCUAGUCCAGGAUCAA
rnacentral:rRNA from 1 species